rnacentral:lncRNA from 1 species
UGGGAUCGACCCUGCUUACCAUUAUACUAAUUUAUUUUGGUAAUUCCGCAGGAAUUAUUUGGUGGUUGGCGACGUCCACCACAUUGGCGUCGUUGCCGGGGAGCGGUGUUAAUCUAAUUCUUUUCCCUUUGAUCUAUUUUCCUUUUUUUAUUUUCUUUUGUUUAUGAGCAGAUCUUCUAGGCCGGAACUCCUAUACGAAAGUGAGAU